AUUGAACGCUGGCGGCAUGCCUUACACAUGCAAGUCGAACGGUAACGCGGGGCAACCUGGCGACGAGUGGCGAACGGGUGAGUAAUGCAUCGGAACGUGCCCAGUAGUGGGGGAUAGCCCGGCGAAAGCCGGAUUAAUACCGCAUACGACCUAUGGGUGAAAGCGGGGGAUCGCAAGACCUCGCGCUAUUGGAGCGGCCGAUGUCAGAUUAGGUAGUUGGUGAGGUAAAGGCUCACCAAGCCUUCGAUCUGUAGCUGGUCUGAGAGGACGACCAGCCACACUGGGACUGAGACACGGCCCAGACUCCUACGGGAGGCAGCAGUGGGGAAUUUUGGACAAUGGGCGCAAGCCUGAUCCAGCCAUGCCGCGUGCGGGAAGAAGGCCUUCGGGUUGUAAACCGCUUUUGUCAGGGAAGAAAAGCUCUGGGCUAAUACCUCAGGGUAAUGACGGUACCUGAAGAAUAAGCACCGGCUAACUACGUGCCAGCCGCCGCAGUAAAAC
rnacentral:rRNA from 1 species